UGGCUCAGUGGUAGAGCGCCUGCCUUGCAUGCAUGAGGCCCUGGGUUUGAUUCCUCAG
rnacentral:tRNA from 1 species